GGUAGGAUUUUUGAAAAGUUAGAAAAAGAAAAGUUUAGAACAGUAACAAUUGAGGAAAACAUGUAUAUCGCUUGACUGCUUGUGUAUACCAUGAAUUUUCCAACCACUUAGUCUAAGGGGUAGAGGUCUAUUUAUAGGUGGGCUCUAAUGGCCCCUGAUACACGGUGAUCCUUGGGACAAAAUAAUACAUUGGUACACCGUCAGGGAAGUGGUGCAAAGCGUAGUGGUGCAGAGGUUGUGGUGUCGGCAUUGGUGCAUGGUCAGAGGUGCUCAGGCAAUGACUCCACACUUUGUACUAACUCCUACCACCACUACUUGUCGGAUAAAUUGUCAGAGUCACGGCUUCAUUUUCCUCAGGAUUGUACAUCUCGUACCCAUACAUGUUCUUUGUACCGGAUGGUCCUUCUAACAUUUCCAAGAGACAUCUUUUCUUUAAGCUUUCUUGUAAUUUGCUAAGUUUGGGAAAGCAUGUUGUGAGAGGUCAAGAUGUGAGGGCGUAAGAAGGUUGGGCGUCGCUAUGCAAGGCCCUUGGCCGAGGGAGAUGAGCACCUAUGCGCCUUCGCACGAAGAUUGGGUCCCCCUAUGCGAGGCCCUUGGCCGAGGGGCAUGAGCACCUAUAUGCCUGCGCACGAAGAAUUGGUCUCGCUAUGCGAGGCCCUUGUCUGAGAGAGAUGUGCACCUAAUACGCCUGCGCAUAAAGCGAGGCCCUUGGCCGAGGGAGAUGCGCACCUAUGUGCCUGCGCACAAAGAUUGGGCCUCGCUAUGUGAGGCCCUUGUCCGAGGGAGAUGCACACCUAUGCACGAAGAUUGGGCCUCACUAUGCGAGGCCCUUAUCCGAGGGAGAUGGCGCACUUAUGCGCCUGUAGGUGGCUGGUGCCUCUCUAUGCGAGGCCCUUGAUCUGUUAGGUCUUGAACCUUCAUUGAUGAAUGCUUUAAGGGAAAUUAUUCCAUAUUCACACAUGCUCCUGAGUUUAUAAGUAUACUUUUAAGUGUUGUAGAAUUUUUCCUAUGUUCCUUGUAUGAUAUGAACGACAUUCGAGCUUUGCUUUACUUUAGGAGUUUGGGAGGCUCAUCAUUGGUGUGUUAUCUAAUGGUUUAUGAAGAAAUACAAAAUAUAUUUGAGUAGUGUGUUUCUUUGUAAUGUACAAAAAAACACAAAAACCAAAUAGCUAGGGUGGUGAUCCAGGUGCAUCCUUAUAACUGAUUGGGGGCCAAUCAUUUUUAGGUACGAAUCCCAAAGUUGUCAAGGCUCUUGAUCUCCACCAUUCAUCCUAGACUUGAUCCAAAGGCUAGGAAUUAUUGACUCUCCUUAUAAAUACCUCAAGGCUUGGAUUCAUUUUUUCACACCAAAAAUUACUUAGCCUAGUGGUAUCUCAUUGAAGCUAUUUCAGGGGGUUCCAAGUUUCUAUCCUCCAUAGAAGCAUUCUUGAAGUAAUUUUCGCCCCUUUUACUUAAAUUCAUCUCCCUUCUUUUUUUUUUUAAAAAAAAAACACUUAUUCUUCCUUGUCCCAUGUUUGCAUUGUAGGGGUACAAGGUGUUCUAACAUUUCUAAGGGUCCACUCUUGCUUAUCGCUUGAUCCCUCGUAAUACGCCAAAAGCUUGUCCUCGUAAAUAUGCAGACUCGCAUACACGCACCCAGGUAUACCUUCUUGCCCUAGUGAUAUGCAUGUCUCUUUUAUCUUUUACACAAGGGUAGGGCAAUAGGUUAGUAUGUACAUGUUCCUUAAGAGUUCUUUAUUCCCAUUGCCUGUUAGGCGUGUAUACAUGGGUCCCUAUCUUACACCCUUUACACUCAUGUUGUAGAUAAAGGGUUAUCUUCACGCACCCACGGCGUCGAGUCUUAGCUUGCCUAUGGCGUGUGGACGAUCUUUUAAAGUCGCGCCUGACGUUGAGCUUAUUGAGUUGUCAUCUUCCAACUUUGAGGUCGACAUUUGUAAACCCUCUACAAAUGCGGGUGUGUGAAUGCUCUACCUGCAAAGGUUAUCCUUCCUCAGGAAGAAAGCAAGAGACCUUGAGAGUGAACUCGAAUCUGUUACCAGUGGUGGGGGUUUAGGUUUCUCCCAUGGCACGAAACAUAUGUCGCCUAACUAAAAUCAACCCUUCAAGAUUGCAUAGCCGAAAUCGCUUGCUUAGAGGAAAACCUGCCACCUGAACCUCCAUCUUCCUAUGGCGAUGGAGCCCCAAGCUCUGGGGGUCCUGCCCAUGGGGGUGCUGAUUGUGACCCAUUUGAACCUGAGUUUCUCUCCAUGGUCUUUCUCUCAUUUCUUCAUAUGUCCUCGACCAAACAUCAUAGGGUCAAAGGGUCAAGCAGUAUGCAGGUAGACGUAGAACAUGUAGAUGGCCUUCAGAGGGUUGAUGAAGUCAGUUGCUCACAAACCGCCUGUUGUUUCUGUCCAGGUAUCAAACAUGUUGAGGGAGAUCCUUGACGAUUCUAAGAAUGCGGGCAUCGAGUCUACUCUUACUCGGGUUAAGCUUUCUAACAUGUUGAAGGCCCAUCAACUGUCAUCGAACAUCAACUUCAUCAUUCCAUCUCGUAAUGACCGUGCGUCUGAGUCACAUGAGGGACUUGUAUCUUUCAGCGACUCAGUGACAAAGUCUGGAGGGGUCUUGCCACUUCACCACUUCUUUGAUAAGAUACUCAACUAUUUUGAGCUAGCACCUCUUCAGCUGUCUCCCAACUAUUGGGUUGUGCUUAGUUGUUUGUAUGUGUUAUACAAGCAAGUGCACCUUUGUGGGCCCUCCAUGAGUGAUGUCCAUCAUCUGUACACUCUUAGGGCGAACCUAACAACCUCUAGCUUCUAUCAUCUCCAGAAAGUUGUGGCUCUCACAGGGUACCCCCUCAUGGAGAGCUCAUUUCAAAUAGGGGUUCGUAGAAAAGCUAUUUUUUCUUCACCAAUAGCGUAUCCACUCAGCAUAAACGUUUUAACACAUCAAGUAAGCUUUUUCUACUUGCAUAUAUACAUAUAAUUUUUUUAUGUAAUUUUUUACUUGUCUUUACCCCUCUCCUCAGGUUUUCCUAACUAUACAUAUUUCUUUUCCUUGACCAUAGGUCUUGAAGGGGUGGUCGACUCUGCUUUGUGUCUGGCAGCCCGCGAUUGUGUGGCAAAGGUCUUGGCUAUGCCGGCUUCACACAAACAGGCCUACAGCCUUUUCACUGAGUGCAAUCUCUAUUCGUCCAUGUUGCUGUCUCCAGAUCAAUCCAUUUCUCUUGUUCCAUCUCAUCCAAGUCUACCAUCCCGAAGAUCAUAGACUGAUGACAAUGAUGAAUACUAUCUCUACUCUGAGGGUGACCUGAUGGAUAUUAAAGAUGAGGUCAAGGUGGAGUCCGAGAACUAUUCCUGUUUAAGAUCCUCCGAAGAUGGAUAUACUGAUGACGUCACUUCCUGGAUCUCAUCGUCGGUAGUAAGUGGUGAGUUUGCUUUCAACAUCCAUCAUCCUACUCCUAUCCCGAAGAGGAAUUUCAUCCUUCCUUCCUUUGACGAUGCUCUUCCACCCUUGGAAACGCAUUUGGGACAGGUGUCUUCGGGUGCCUCGCUUCCUGAAGAGGUGACUCCGCGCACCUCCUCUCUUCGUGCCUCUAUGGACGGAUUAGGACCUUCCCAGUCCCUUCUUUAUCUAGGCAUGCAUCGACAAGUGUACAAGUCUCCCCCUGCCAAGCCCAUGCUUCCGCUUCCUGGGGGCAUCCUUUGGCGAGCCAGCACGGAGAGGCCAUGAGCCAUUACAUGGGGAGUAUUUAUGAAGGCGAGUGAGGCUCUAUGUAUGAUAUUCUAGAUGCCGAGUUGGGUGAGGCUUAUAUGUGAGCCUCUAUGCAGGCUUCCAUCUUGGGUCACCAUUUUGUCGCAUCGAGCUCCUCAUCCAUGCAACGGUUACAGUUCGAGCUUGAGGGGCGAUGAAGGACCUCUCCUUGGCCUGGCAGAGAAAGAUGAGUUGACUGCAUGGGUCAGCGACUUGGAGGGCCAUCUUGCUGAGGCGGUGCGCCAAAAGAAUACUGCUAAGGCCACAUCGACCUCUCGAUCCAAAACUAGGCUCGAAGCCAAUAUUCAUACCCUGAAUGAGAAGAUUAAUGCUCUUGAGGCUGAGCUGGUAAAUGCUAAGAAUGGCAUAGUCGAGUGCACAUUGCAUGUCUUGUGGACGAUCAAUUCUGAUGUCAACCUGUCUCCCAUUGGAGAGUAUGCAAUCGAGAAGAUUGUUGAGUGGAAAGGUCGGGGUGGAAACCCAUAGGCCUCUCUCUGAGGCUUAUUUAAAUAUAUAUAUAUAUAUAUCUAUAUUUUGUUGUUGUGUAACCCUCUAUCUUUUUUCUUCUAUAAGGAACUCCUUAUAAGUCUUUGAUAAUAUGUGGGACUCUUUAUCUCUAAGUCCUUGCUUAUUUUUGUAUUGACUGCAAGGAUGUAUUGGAA